rnacentral:rRNA from 1 species
UGAGGAAUAUUGCGCAAUGGGCGAAAGCCUGACGCAGCGACGCCGCGUGGGGGAUGAAGGUCUUCGGAUUGUAAACCCCUUUCGGGAGGGAAGAUGGGACGGGCAACCGUUCGGACGGUACCUCCAGAAGCAGCCACGGCUAACUUCGUGCCAGCAGCCGCGGUAAUACGAAGGUGGCAAGCGUUGUUCGGAUUUACUGGGCGUACAGGGAGCGUAGGCGGUUUGGUAAGCCCUCCGGGAAAUCUUCGGGCUUAACCCGGAAAGGUCGGAGGGGACUGCCAAGCUAGAGGACGGGAGAGGAGCGCGGAAUUCCCGGUGUAGCGGUGAAAUGCGUAGAGAUCGGGAGGAAGGCCGGUGGCGAAGGCGGCGCUCUGGAACGUUCCUGACGCUGAGGCUCGAAAGCGUGGGGAGCAAACAGG